AAAAGUGAAAGACGGUCUUGCUGUCACUUAUAGAUGGAUCCGCGCUGCAUUAGCUAGUUGGUAAGGUAACGGCUUACCAAGGCAACGAUGCAUAGCCGACCUGAGAGGGUGAUCGGCCACACUGGAACUGAGACACGGUCCAGACUCCUACGGGAGGCAGCAGUAGGGAAUCUUCCGCAAUGGGCGAAAGCCUGACGGAGCAACGCCGCGUGAGUGAUGAAGGUCUUCGGAUCGUAAAACUCUGUUAUUAGGGAAGAACAUAUGUGUAAGUAACUGUGCACAUCUUGACGGUACCUAAUCAGAAAGCCACGGCUAACUACGUGCCAGCAGCCGCGGUAAUACGUAGGUGGCAAGCGUUAUCCGGAAUUAUUGGGCGUAAAGCGCGCGUAGGCGGUUUUUUAAGUCUGAUGUGAAAGCCCACGGCUCAACCGUGGAGGGUCAUUGGAAACUGGAAAACUUGAGUGCAGAAGAGGAAAGUGGAAUUCCAUGUGUAGCGGUGAAAUGCGCAGAGAUAUGGAGGAACACCAGUGGCGAAGGCGACUUUCUGGUCUGUAACUGACGCUGAUGUGCGAAAGCGUGGGGAUCAAACAGGAUUAGAUACCCUGGUA
rnacentral:rRNA from 1 species